rnacentral:rRNA from 1 species
UACGAAGGGGGCUAGCGUUGCUCGGAAUCACUGGGCGUAAAGCGCACGUAGGCGGCUUUCUAAGUCAGGGGUGAAAUCCUGGAGCUCAACUCCAGAACUGCCUUUGAUACUGGAGAGCUUGAGUCCGGAAGAGGUGAGUGGAACUCCGAGUGUAGAGGUGAAAUUCGUAGAUAUUCGGAAGAAACACCAGUGGCGAAGGCGGCUCACUGGUCCGGUACUGACGCUGAUGUGCGAAAGCGUGGGGAGCAAACAGG